AUGGAAACCGGCGCCGUCCUCCUGCCUCGCGGCGCCGCCCGUUCCCCAGCGCCCCACCCCGCCGCCUGCUCCCCAGCACAGGCCGGCGAGCAGCGCGACCCCUUCCCUUCAGCGCCUCCUCACUCUAGGCAGCACGGCCUCCUCCCUCUGGCGCCUCCUCUCUCCGGCGAGCAGCACGGCGCAGACGGCGUGAACAACGCGGCCGGCAUGGCGGCUUCCUCACUCCGGCGAGCAGCGUGGCUGUCUUACUCCGGCGAGCAGCGCGACUGGCGUGGGUUCCUACCUCCAUCACCUCCUCACACGGACGAGCAGCGCGGGCGGCGCGGCCUCCUCACUCCGGCGAGCAGCGUGGGCCGUGCGGCGCGGGCUCCUCCCUCUGGUGCCUCCUCACUCCGGCAAGCAGCGCGACCUCCUCCUUCCGGCGCCUCCUCACUUCGGCGUGGCCUCCAUCCAGCGUGGCCUCCCUCCGGCAGCAGCGCUUUUCUCCGGUGA
rnacentral:rRNA from 1 species